UACGUAGGGUGCAAGCGUUGUCCGGAAUUAUUGGGCGUAAAGAGCUCGUAGGCGGUCUGUCGCGUCUGCUGUGAAAACUCAGGGCUUAACCCUGAGCUUGCAGUGGGUACGGGCAGACUAGAGUGCGGUAGGGGAGACUGGAAUUCCUGGUGUAGCGGUGAAAUGCGCAGAUAUCAGGAGGAACACCGGUGGCGAAGGCGGAUCUCUGGGCCGAUACUGACGCUGGAGGAGCGAAAGCGUGGGGAGCGAACAGG
rnacentral:rRNA from 1 species